UACGUAGGGGGCAAGCGUUGUCCGGAAUUACUGGGCGUAAAGCGCGUGUAGGCGGGACGGCAAGUCGGACGUGAAAGGCUGGGGCUCAACCCCAGAUCGCCGUUCGAAACUGCCGUUCUUGAGGGUCGAAGAGGAGAGAGGAAUUCCUGGUGUAGCGGUGAAAUGCGUAGAGAUCAGGAGGAACACCCGUGGCGAAGGCGGCUCUCUGGUCGACAUCUGACGCUGAGACGCGAAAGCGUGGGGAGCGAACGGG
rnacentral:rRNA from 1 species